rnacentral:lncRNA from 1 species
UCUAAUCUAAUCUUUCAAAAUUUUAACUUUAUUACUUAUUUCUUCAAUUUAUUUGAUUUGAAUCAAUUAACAGCAUUUUGACUUCAAAAUUUAAAUAUUUCGUUUAGUCGUUUAUUUUUACAGGUUUAGUUAACGUAUUUUGUAUAAUUCUCGCAACUAUAAAUUCAUUAAAAUGAGUAAUUAGCUAAAAUUUUAAAGUUAAAAUAUCGUCGACUGAUUAAAUCAAACAAAUUGGAAGAUUAGAUAGUAAAAUCAAUAUUUUGAAAGGUUCUAUUAAAUAGGUCAAAUAAGUUGUGUACAUUUUUAUGAAUUAAAAAUUAUUAAUAAUAAAUAGGUGUGUUUUAGAAAUAAUUAAUAUGAUAAUAUAUGGGGAACACAUAUAAUAGGCCCAAAAUCUUUAGUUGCUUAUACAAAUUACCUCUAUUGUGAGUACACACUCGUAAACUUUGUAUAAAAUUUUAAUUUAUUUGAAUAGAAUAUUUAUUUAUUUAUUUAUUUAGUUUUGAGAGAUAGAUAGCAUGCUAUCCCGUUUUGCUUAUUUCGAGACCUCGGGUACCAACCACAAGUUUUUUUACCACUUGCGCUGAUGAAUAUAUAUAUAUAUAGAGAGAGAGAGAGAGAGAGAGAGAGAGUGCGGCUAGGAUGUUUAUAGAAGCACGGAGGGUUCCGUGCUUCCACUUUGUUUUCGAUGUUCGGACUUUCGAAUCGGCUAUCGGCUCCGUUAGACUUGAUCUAGAGUAUUUGAAGUAUCUAGAAAAUAAAUUUUGUAAUUUUUCGAUAUCAUUUGCCUAGUAAUCGAAGUGGCUCAAAAUCAACGGCUGAAAAUAAAAAUCUUUCAAAAUAUGAUGAUAUGACAUUAAAAUUUUAGAUCAAAAUUAUUGAUCUUGUUUUAUAUGGUAUAAAGAAUUUUCUAUCAAAAUUUCAUGUGAUUUGGAUAUUUCUACACCGUUAAACUUGCAACCGGCUCACCACGGCCGUUAAAAUUAUUAAUUUUGAGCCCCUUCGAUCACUAGGCAAAUGAUAUCGAAAAAUCGCAAAAUUUAUUUUCUAGAUACUUCAAAUACUCUAGAU